CAACCUGCCGAUGACUCGGGGAUAGCCUUUCGAAAGAAAGAUUAAUACCCGAUGGCAUAGUUCUUCCGCAUGGUGGAACUAUUAAAGAAUUUCGGUCAUCNAUGGGGAUGCGUUCCAUUAGGUUGUUGGCGGGGUAACGGCCCACCAAGCCUUCNAUGGAUAGGGGUUCUGAGAGGAAGGUCCCCCACAUUGGAACUGAGACACGGUCCAAACUCCUACGGGAGGCAGCAGUGAGGAAUAUUGGUCAAUGGACGAGAGUCUGAACCAGCCAAGUAGCGUGAAGGAUGACUGCCCUAUGGGUUGUAAACUUCUUUUAUACGGGAAUAAAGUGAGGCACGUGUGCCUUUUUGUAUGUACCGUAUGAAUAAGGAUCGGCUAACUCCGUGCCAGCAGCCGCGGUAAUACGGAGGAUCCGAGCGUUAUCCGGAUUUAUUGGGUUUAAAGGGAGCGUAGGCGGACGCUUAAGUCAGUUGUGAAAGUUUGCGGCUCAACCGUAAAAUUGCAGUUGAUACUGGGUGUCUUGAGUACNGUAGAGGCAGGCGGAAUUCNUGGUGUAGCGGUGAAAUGCUUAGAUAUCNCGAAGAACUCCNAUUG
rnacentral:rRNA from 1 species